rnacentral:rRNA from 1 species
AUGAACGCUGGCGGCGUGCCUAAUACAUGCAAGUCGAGCGAACAGAUGAGGAGCUUGCUCCUCUGACGUUAGCGGCGGACGGGUGAGUAACACGUGGAUAACCUACCUAUAAGACUGGGAUAACUUCGGGAAACCGGAGCUAAUACCGGAUAAUAUAUUGAACCGCAUGGUUCAAUAGUGAAAGACGGUUUUGCUGUCACUUAUAGAUGGAUCCGCGCCGCAUUAGCUAGUUGGUAAGGUAACGGCUUACCAAGGCAACGAUGCGUAGCCGACCUGAGAGGGUGAUCGGCCACACUGGAACUGAGACACGGUCCAGACUCCUACGGGAGGCAGCAGUAGGGAAUCUUCCGCAAUGGGCGAAAGCCUGACGGAACAACGCCGCGUGAGUGAUGAAGGUCUUCGGAUCGUAAAACUCUGUUAUUAGGGAAGAACAAAUGUGUAAGUAACUAUGCACGUCUUGACGGUACCUAAUCAGAAAGCCACGGCUAACUACGUG